rnacentral:lncRNA from 1 species
AGACUAAAUUAUUCUGGUUCAAAAUGGGCUGUUUUUUGAGAUUUCAGUGGAGAGGAAAAAAAGUGUUUAAGUAUUUUCAAGAGAGGUAACCUCGCUCGGUGAGCCCCGCCCGCGAUCCACGCUCUCUGGGAGCUAGGAGGGGCGCAGGAGCCGGGGUCUCUGCCCUGCCCGCCUGGCUUCCAGAUGUGGUGCAGCGCCAGCGCGCGGGGACACAGUGUCCGCCAGGAGAAGGAAGGGCCGCCCUGCACCACACCAGGCCAGCCUCUGGUGUUAAUGAGAGCCUAUAUUUGGAAGUGGCAUCUGGAGAGGUUUGCCUUGCACAAAGACCAAAUAAUUACCUCUUGGCUUUUGAAAAAGGAAGGGGGAAGCGGGAAGACAAAGGCGCCUGUGAGCGCGGAGGACGCUCUCCUGGGACUCUGGCCUGGAGCGGGACUGCAGCCUUGCGUGCGGCGAGGGCGCUGCGCUACUCAGGGCUUCCGCGAAGCCAGGGGCAGCGCGGCCGCGUGCAAAUUAAGUACUCAUGUCACCGUGUUAGCUAUGGUGGCUUGAAAGAAAUGCUUUGUAGCCCUCUAAAGGCAGGCUGAUCGGAAGAACUGGAAGAUUGCAAAGAUAAAAAGGAACUCUGGCAGAGAAGGGGGGCAAGAGGUGUACCCAUGUGUGGGUGUGUCCAUGUGGUGUGCCUGCCUUGCUCCAGAAUAAGCCUCCAUAGGUUCCCAUGGCAGUGGACAUGUUUGGUAAACUUGUAAGGUGACAAGGAAAAUUGAUCAAGUUACGUUAAGAGGAAAAAAGGCAUUCCAGGCCACCAUAUCCUUAGUCACGUAGGCUA